rnacentral:rRNA from 1 species
AGCGAACGCUGGCGGCAGGCCUAACACAUGCAAGUCGAGCGCUCGUAGCAAUACGAGAGCGGCAGACGGGAGAGUAACACGUGGGAACGUACCCUUUGGUUCGGAACAACACAGGGAAACUUGUGCUAAUACCGAAUAAGCCCUUACGGGGAAAGAUUUAUCGCCAAAGGAUCGGCCCGCGUCUGAUUAGCUAGUUGGUGAGGUAACGGCUCACCAAGGCGACGAUCAGUAGCUGGUCGAGAGGAUGAUCAGCCACAUUGGGACUGAGACACGGCCCAAACUCCUACGGGAGGCAGCAGUGGGGAAUAUUGGACAAUGGGCGCAAGCCUGAUCCAGCCAUGCCGCGUGAGUGAUGAAGGCCUUAGGGUUGUAAAGCUCUUUUACCUGGGAAGAUAAUGACGGUACCAGGAGAAUAAGCCCCGGCUAACUUCGUGCCAGCCGCCGCCGUAAU